GUCCUAGCCCUAAACGAUCAGGACUUGGGGUGCCACCCGUUCGGGUGUCGUCCCGGAGCUAACGCGAUAAGUCCUGCACCUGGGGAGUACGGUCGCAAGACUGAAACUCAAAGGAAUUGACGGGGCCCGCACAAGCGGUGGAACAUGUGGUUCAAUUCGACGCUACGCGAGGAACCUUACCUGGGCUCGAAAUGCUUAGGACCAGCUGUAGAAAUACGGCCUUCCCGCAAGGGACCUGAGUAUAGGCGCUGCAUGGCUGUCGU
rnacentral:rRNA from 1 species